GUUUUAGUUUUAGUUUUCCAUUCUCUCUUUUUUGUUUGUUCAAACUUCAAACAAAGGUUCAUCCUCCACUCACUUAACCUUCUCCUUCCUUUCUCUUCCAUUUCUAUAUUUGGCAACUCUUCUCUCUCCCCCCUCUCUCUCGCUUUGUUCCGUCAAGGACAAGGACCGAGCCUCAGGAGCCACGAAAAACAGAACCAGGUUGGUGCCCAUUAUUAUUCGGGUGGAAAAAUUUAAAACUUUGAGAUUUUGAAAAGGGACAAAAGGUGGAAUCUACCUGCCCAGAAGAAUUAUAUGAUCCUUUGAUCAUUAAAUCGCGUAAAAAACGCUUUUGGGGGGAGAAAGGAGGAUCCCUGAAAUAGUUUUGGUGAUAAUUUCCAUCUGGGGUCUUCUCAUCGGAAUGUGUAUGUGGUAGGAUCGUGAAAUUCGGUGGAAUGAUUGAAAAGGGUGGUGGUAGAGCAAUGGAGUGGAGGCUUCAAUUGAUUGGUGAACUGAAAAUUGAGAGCAUGAAAUAGGUGCAGAUCAACAUGGAAUCAAAAGGAGAAGCUGAACCUCAGGAGGAGAGGCCUUCAUCACCAAUGAGGGUCCUGCAGCAUUUUUCUGGGGGCGCAUUCAGAGUUCCUGGAGAAUCAUUGCACAAUAUGUCACCAAUGGGGCCUGGCGGGCAUAGACGUUGUCAAAGUGAGCUUGGUAGCAGAGGAGCUGACCGUAAUAACAACUUGCAGAAAUUAAAAUCUCACGUGAACAAGGCUUGGCGCUGGGGUGGCAAAUCCCGCGAAGAAGAAGCCUUGGCGAAUUUCAACCCUGAGGUCAUGGCAAACCAGAAACGGCAGUGGUAUCGGCUUCAUCCUAAAAGUCUGGAUUGUGUAAAUAAUAAGGAGCCGACAUCGCUCUUUGAACAUUUUGUGAUUGUGGGGCUGCCUCCAGAUGCUAAUUUGGAAGCCGUGGAGCAUUCAUUUGCACGAAGGAAGAAGUGGGAAAAGGAUAAGGGGAAACCUGAAUUUCGAGAUUGCAGAAAGUCUCAGCAACAAAGACUAACAGAACCAACUUUGGAACCUCAGUUACUGUUCAAAUAUCCUCCUGCAAAGAAGCUGACACUGCGUAUGAAGGAUUUAGCUCCCUUUUGCUUUCCUGAAGGUGUUAAGGCAUGGUUGUUGGAGAGGACUCCAUCUCUUAGUGAACUAAAUGAACUUGUCUAUGGACAGGAACAUUUAGGAAAAGAUGAUCUUUCAUUCGUCUUUGCAGUCAAGGCAGCAGACAAUACAACACUUUAUGGAGUUUGUUUACAUGUCCCUGAAAUUGUACAAAGGCCCCCUGGUAUCAUGGGCAUAUCAUCUUCUUUUUCUAAUCCCUCCAUGGGAUGCAGCCGUUUUCUGGUUUCUGCACCUCGCUGCUAUUGUCUUCUGACUAGAGUUCCCUUCUUUGAGUUACACUUUGAGAUGUUAAACAGUCUCAUUGCACAGGAGCGCCUGAAUCGGAUAACAGAGUUUAUAAAUGAGAUGAGUCUCAGUGCCAGCGUUCCAUCAUCUCCCAAACUAGAUGAUCAAAGGAGGUCAAAGGAGGAAAAAUCCCCAGAGAACGAGACAUUUAGUGAAUGGAUGGAUUCUGCAAUUCCUCUUGAUGGUGCAGCAGCUAUUGCUGCUGCAGCUGCUGGGAUUAUAUCAGAUGAUGAAAGCCAACAACAUUUAUCACCUAAAAUACAGGAUAAUCGCUGUCAAUCUCCUGUAAGUGGGAGUGCCAGUGAUGAUGCUUCAGAUUCUUCUCAGGUCAAGGAUACAGAUAAGGAGGACAAGAAGAAUCCCCAAGUUCUAGAUAACUGUGAGUUUAAGGCACCAGCAACUCUUUGUUCUAUAAAAAGAAUGCAUGAAAAUUGCAAAAAUGACCAAGCUUCUCCGAAAGCCGGAACACCUUUGUCUGCUCGAAAUCGUGUCUUGGAGCGUCUUGGAAGUUUUGAAUCACUUUUCAGUCCAGUUAGAAGCAGGCAAUCAGAAGAUGAGGACAAUUUUUUCUCAAACACCGAAAGAGAUUAUGGGGAUGAAUUGUUAAUUGAAUGGGCUACGGAGAAUAAGAAUGAUUUGCUACAGAUAGUGUGUAGAUACCAUGCUCAACCUAUUCCACCUCGAGGAAGUGAUUUUGUCUUCCACCCUCUCGAACAUCUACAAGCUAUUCAGUACAUACGACAUUCAGUUGCUGCUCUUGGCUUCGGAGAUGAUUCUUCAAACUGUUCUGAAGCAGCUCUGGACAAUACGAAGCUGGCAGCGGCUGAGGAAGCCCUAUCAUUAUCAGUAUGGACAAUGGCGACUACAUGUCGAGUUCUGUCCCUUGAUAGUGUGUUGACAUUGAUUACAGGAGUGUUGUUGGAAAAACAGGUGGUAAUAGUGUGCCCAAAUCUGGGUGUUCUAUCUGCCACAGUGCUUUCUCUUAUACCCAUGAUUCGUCCUUUUCAGUGGCAGAGUUUAUUGCUCCCAGUUUUACCUGGGACAAUGAUGGAUUUUCUUGAUGCCCCAGUUCCAUAUAUUGUUGGCAUACAACAUAAACCUGAUGACUUGAAUGCGAGAACUACUAAUCGUGUUCUUGUUGAUUUACAGAAGGACAAGGUGACAAUGUGUUCAUUACCAAGACUUCCACAGCAUAGAGAUCUUUACUCUCAGUUGAGUUCAAUUCAUGCUACACUUUCAAAUCAAAGAUCAAUUGCUAGAAAGCAUCCUGUACAUAGGCCGAAGCGGCAACUCAGUUUUUGAAUAUACUGUGGCACUAUUUGGAGUCUCUUUGUGCAAAUCUGAAAUCCCACACGAUAACUAAUGUACAAUCUAAUAAAGAUAGGGUUUCUUUACUUCUUAAAGAUAGCUUCAUUGAUUCCUUUCCUGCUAGGGAUCAACCAUUCAUUAAGGUAACAGCCUCCUAUUCACUUCAAAAAAAGAAACAUAGGCAUUGAAAAUUUGAUUGGUGCUGAUUCGGUAAAAAAUUGAGUGCCUUAAACCGGAGAACAAAUAUAGAGAGUAAAUAAUCUGAUUCAAAGUCAAUAGUACUUCAAGCCAGAAAAUCUAAAUGCCCCAGCCUUAGGUAUGACUUUCUAUUUAUAAAUGAAGUGGUUACAAAUCAAUUAUCUUCCAACUAAGAUAAUAUUUAAGUUACAAAAUACAAAUAUAAUAAUAAAAUAUAAACCUUUUUGUCUUUUGCUAAUAUAUCUCCUAGAUAAGCUUUGUUAAUUAAAUCAAAACUUCUUAUAAGACUUAGGCCAAAUUCCUGGACUUAUAGACUUUGGAUCGGUCUUUGACGUUUUAUCCAUAUUCGAGUAUCGGGUCGGAUCCGAACGACCAGGACGAUAUAGGUGUCAUCCUAGUUUAGAACAAAAUUUGAUCGUUUUAUGCAUUACAUUUGGCUUAAGCUACUGAAAAAGUUGGAAUUAACAUCAUUGAGGGUAGGGUGGAACAUUAAAUAUUAGUUCAUGAAUAGGCAUGCUGGGUUUUGGUUUUAUUUAUUUUCUGAAGCAGCUGAAGCAACACAGGUCCUAGUGUGACUGUUGUUUGAAUAAACUUUCCAGGAGAGAAAAAGUAGGAAGGUAAAAUUAAUUCAACUUCUCUCAUUAGUUGAAAUCAACUUGUGUCUUAACUUGUUUUAACUUGUUCAAUGACUGAAGGACAUGAUUUAAUUUUAGAUAAUGAAAGAAUCUCAAUUCAUUUUACCCUCAUAUGUUCUUCUCUUGAUUGAUUUUGAAUCCUUGGCUAUGCAGCUUUUUGUAGAUACACAGCUAUUCACUGUUUUAUCAGACUCUCGUUUGACAAGCUUUGAAAGUGGAGAGUCAUAGUCCCGUGCCACAUUGGUUUUAGAUCAAAUUGUGCUAUAGAUCUGUUAUACAUGUUUGAUGGCACUGUUGAAGAUAUAACUCUUGAUUUCAUAGGAGGAACACCUCCGUUUCAAACCAAAUGAAACUUUGCUAAUCCGAGAAUGACAGAAAGUUGAUAUCUGGGUCAAAAAGUUGUAUAAUGUUCAUAGUAAAUGUCAUGUACUAAAUCAUUGUGCUAACCCAUAUGAAAGAAUCACUGUCCCUAUUUUUUGUUGAGGGGUGUGUUCUUGGGUUCAGCAGUUCAUGUUUUGUAAUUCAGUAAUUGUGAGUACAGACUAUGUCCACUCUCCCUGUAGCAUACAUGUCAUAAUCUUUUUACUGAGCAAACCAUAGUUUUGGUUCCUAAAAGUGUAAUGUAUUGUCAUAUUAAAAUCAAGAAAAUUCUAAGUUAAUGAAUUUUUUUAUU